UGGCAGCUGUUUGUACCAGUGUACAGG
rnacentral:piRNA from 1 species